rnacentral:lncRNA from 1 species
GGGGUGUGGACGACUGAAGGGGGGAAGAGAAAAAAAGAGGGUUUCGUCUGGGAGUGCCAAGAGAAAAAGGAAGGAAUGGGCGGCUAAGAAAACAGAGGAGGCGGCUGAAAAUCUGAAAGGAAAACAGAAAAAAAAGAUUAGGGGGAAGGGCUUCGGCCGAAGAAAAGAAAGAGAGCCACGGUUCAAGGGAGGAAAAGCUUCAGGCGGCUGAGAAGCAAGGAAGGAAAAUAGAGGAAGGCUUCGGCUGGGCUAGGAGCUGGAAAGAAACGAAAACUAGAAAAAAAGAAGGACAGAAAUCAGGAGGCCUAGCUAGGAACGAAGAAGGAUUUGGCGGAGGGAAAAAGGAAAGGCCGCAAAGAAAAAUAGAAAAACAAGAAAAAACAGAGGGGGAAUUCGGGCAGGAAAAAACGAGGAAAAGGAAAAGAACAAGGGAUUAGGGAGGCUAAAAAUAGAAACGGAGAAAUGGGGACGGCGGCCUAGGUGGAGGGACAGAGGAAGACUAAAGAAAGAGAGGUCUGGUACGGCUGGAAAAGUCUGGGGUUUUUGGGGAUGGCGGACGAAAAAAGAAAGAGGGAAAGAGGUUCUGCGGCUGAGAAAGAAAAACAGAGCGACGGAGGGAGAGCCGCAAUCCAUUGCCAUUGCCUGCAAAAUCUCACCAAACAAGAGCACUUCAAUCGGCUUCAGAUGCAAGAUGACAGCGACGACGAAAACCUGAUAGGAAACUCCAAAGCGGUUUGGGACCAAAGCAGAGGCGCAGAGCUGCGAUAAAAAUCGAGCAAGGAAGGUUAGUCCGAAGAGUUGCCGGAACCACCAGUCUGCAUCCGCUGCUGCUCGCCACCACAACGUCGGACUCCACCACUGCCGCCCGUGAAUUGCCACUAUAAGAGGCCAUUGUCCAGUAAUUUCUUCAUCUACGCUUCAGUUUUCCUUUAGAGUAGAGUAUGACUUCCGUGAAAACUUCUGUGAAAUUGGUAUUUCACUUUUCAUGCUGAUUGUUCAUGAAUCUUUAAAUACAUGUGCUUUAUAUGAUGCCUGGAAUCGAAAUCCUUUUUUGUUCUGUUAAUUUUGGGGCUGAUUAACUUCGAUUGGGCAAAGAUUGGCGAGAUUUUUUAAUGCCCCUGACCUGUUCGAUGAAAUGCCCGACUGAGAUUUUCUAAUUGAAAGAUAACUUGUCUGCAUUUUAUUGCGUAUGAAGAAACGGGAUAAGUUAGCAAGUUCAAUUCUUUGCAUUUGAGAAAAUCUGAUGAAUUGGUGUUUGCAUUUUCCAUUUUUUUCUGUUCCAUUCCGAAUUAAUCUUAGGAGAUGGAGUCUUCGCGGGUAAAUUUUGUUGUCUGUUGGGAAUGAUUGCAUUUGAAACUAAGUCUCUGGUAUUGCUAAUUGAAAAGAACGGAAACGCCAAUUGAUAUUGGCUCGGUGAAGAAGAUGAUGACUUCUCCAAACAUUACAUUUUAGACCCUUUAUUUUCCCCUCUUCGUAAUCUAACCCCAAAGUCUUAGAACUUCGUAAUUUGACUUCAAAGUUUUUAUAAAUCCUUCAGAUGGGUCCUUAUAUGAAUUGUAUUUUGAACCGCAAAUUUGGAAAAGUUGAAUUUAUUUUGUCCUUGUAAAUGUUAAUCAUCUUUUAAUCUUUUAAACUAGUCUUGCGUGUAGAUUAAUUCUUGAUUUUAGAUCAUAAUUAUGGUUUAUUAAUUUUAGAUGAUUUUUCCAUGUUGGGUAUUAGUGAAAUAAGUGAUUUGGGGUUUGAGAGUUUAUUUUGCUUGGGUUUAAGAGAGUGGGUUUAGUUUAUUUUUGUUGGGUUUUUGGCUUGGGCUUAGGAGGUAAAAGCCCACUCUUUGGGGUUGGGUUUGUUUGUUGGAAAGUGAAGACUAGCCCAUCUAUUGUCUUGGGGGUUUUUCGGUUGGGCUAGGGAAGUUUCAGCCCAAACAAAUAAAAAAAAAAGGGCCCAAUAGCCUGUUAAGUUAAGAAGCCUGAUGACAAAAUUUCGUUCCAGUCCCCUAACUUUUGGAUUUUUCACUAUGGCCCUACAAACUUUCAAUUUCAUUCAAUUGGGUCCUUACUUUAAUUGUAAAUGAGUCCUUGAACUUUAUUUUUCUUUAAUUUUGGCCCCAAAAUUUUGUCAAUCUUUGCAAUCAAGUCCUUUCUUCUUUUGACUUCUUGAAUGUGAGUUGUCUACAUGAUUUAAUUGAUUCAAUUUCAUGUUUACUUUUAUCUCUUGUGAUUAUUUCUUGAUUAAAGUGGUGCCUUCACCCUUUUAUUGUUUUGAAGCUAAUAUUCCCUUCAUUUCACAACUCAAGGGAGGUAACAUCUAUCUCUUUGAUUUUAUUUUUCCUACGUGCUCCUACAUGUUUUGUGUGAAUAUGCAUGCUUUAAUUUGCUUUUCAUUUUCUUAAUGUUUAAUUGCCUGUUUUCGCUUUCUUUUAUUUCGCCUUCUUUAAUUAAGCAAGUUAUUCGUGGGCAUUUGAACCCCAAUUUGUAAUAGUUAGGUAUUUCUUUUAAUCAUUUAUUUAAUUAUUUCCCCUUUAGAUUGUAGUAGGCUUCCCCCCGAAUGUAAUAGUUAGGACUUUAUUUGUUUUACUUGCUUUAUGUGUGUUACAUGCCUAUGUGCUAUGUGUUACCGCUUUUUUUUAGGACGUGCAUCUAGAUAUCAUGCCUAUAUGUUAUUUGUCUUAUGUGAUUUAUGUGCUUAUUUGCUUUGUUAUGCUUUAUCUGAUUUUCUUAGACUAUAAUAAAUGCAUGUUGUCACCGCACUAGUCCAACGCUAGUUGUGGUCCCUUUUUUAUAAUUUCUCGCUAGUCCAACGCUAGUCGAGACCCUUUUUUUGAUUUUCCACUAGUCCAAUGCUAGUUGGAAUUCAUAGACAUGGGCUAGUCCAACGCUAGACCCUUAGGAGCCCUUCGCGUGUUAGAUCAUGAUUGCAUGAUAAAAUCACUCCAUCUCAUGCAUGUUUUCACUUUUUAGGGCGUUACCAUGUUGCAUGACACUUUCUUAUAUGUGUACAUCCUUUACCCCAUAUUCCUUUCUAUUUAUAUCCCCUAUUCCCUAAUCUCCCUAUUUAUAUAUGCCCCUUUGUAUGUUACAUAACAUUAGACUUGCAUUUCAUUUUAGAUUUAGGAUUAGGGUAGUGCAUUUGCUUGAUUAGACUAGAGAUAACCCCUUGAGUAUGGGAAAUGGACGAGUUUGGCUUUUCUAGCCUUAGCACGCUCGUAUUCCCUCUGUCAAAAGGAAAAUUGAGUCACGAGUAUUAGUUUUCCCCGUACCCGAUAUGAUGCAUUCCUUUAAGACAUAUAUAUUUCUAUAAUUAUUUUUAUUCUUUUCCUUUUCUUUGAGUCUCAUAUUUGUGCAUCAUUCGUGACCUCUCCAAAGAGUCAUUAUUGGGCGUCACAACUAAUGUGAUUGGCACCACUCAAGUUUUGAAGAGAAAUUUUGCCCCCCGAUGCCCUCCUAGGUCUAGGGUUUGCAUUCAUAUAGUACAUCCAAAUAUGAUAAAUAUUUUGGUUAAAAAUAAGAAAAUCCUUGACUAAAUCACGCAACUAGCCUUGGCUUUCAUCCUUGCCUUCCCCUUCGUCAAAUGUGGCUCCCGAACCUUUUUCGUUGGUUUACGUAGACUAGAAGUCGUUUAAAAGAGGUUUCUUUUUAUCUUUUUCCUUUGAAAAAUUCAUUUUUGGUGACUUGGUACACCUUAACUCUAUACCAAGUGGCGACUCCGAUUUUUAUUUCAAAAACCCUUUUUAAACUAUAUUUUGGGUCAAAUCGUCGCAUUUUCAAAUCCCAUUUAGACCCACUUUCUUUGUAGAUCAAAAAUCAUUUUUCAAAUCAAAAAAUUCACUUUCAAACCAUUUUAAUUUAUUUAUUUUUCUUAUAAAAAUGGGGCGUGACAGCUAGCGACUCCACUGGGGACUUAGAGAGUCCGAACAUUUGAUUUAGUCGAUUAAUUUCUUCUUUUAACCUUCUUAUAUAUUACAUUUGGAUGUUUAGGAUUGCAUUUUUCCUUUUUUAGGAUUUUUGCAUUUCGCGCGUAUCAACUCACUUCCUCACACAUUCGCCUACGAUUGUUUUGAUGGAUGGAUGGUUUAUUUAUGUGAUUCCGCGCUUUGCAUUGCAUUUGGAUGGGGGGACGUUACCUUAGAGCCUCGCGUUGGUUCUUGAUCCCUCCCCUCCAAACGAGCACUAGCAUACGUGCAUACGCUUUAAUUAUUUACCCCUCAUUUAUUUUUCUUUUAGUGGCUUGUCACGCCACUCCACCCUAUUAGGAUUUUAGGCGACUCACUUGGACGUGUGAUCGCGACACGACGUGUGCGUAGCAAGAUCCAAGGGGUCACUCAAUAUUCAGCUUUAAGCUUUGGGUUGAUAGCCUUUAGCUUUUAGUCGAAAGUUGAGGAUUUUUGAUAGAUUCACUCAGACAUGUAGCCGUGACACGACGUGUGCGUAGCAAUGUCUGGGGAAUCGCCCGAGCCACCGACAAAGAACCUUGGGAUUGAUGACCCUUGGUUUCUAAGUCUGAAGGCCUGGGGACCUAAAACCUAUCGAGUCUAGAUGCAUUAGUGAGCCAAUACCUCAUGCAUCUAUGAUAGUUUACCUAGGGUAGAGUCUGCCUUACCCUAGUAGGGACACUAUUCACGAGGGGAGGGAUCCAACCCCUUUUUCCCUUUUAUUGCUUUAUUUCUUUGUAUUGAUUUUAUUGCUUUAUCUCGUUGCUACAAUGUGUUAUGUGUAUUUAUCUGGCUGAACUAACUCUUCUUGGUUUUGUCCCCAUUGUGAGAACCUUGAAUUUUGCAGAUAAAUACCAAUGCAUACUUCAAUUUCAUUUUUAUCUAGUAGUCAUAUUCUUUAAUCCCUUCUAGCAUUACUUUCACUUGCUUUCAAAUAUUAUUGCAUAUUUUAUUUGCAUUUAUUAUUCUUUAAUAAAUUUUAGCACCAUUUCCUUUUACUUUAUUUAUUUAUCUACUUGCUCUCAAAUAAGUGCGUGACCAUAAUUUUAAGUGAAAAAUAAUACAAUCCCGCUAAGCUAAUAAACUACUUGGUCUUGUUAUGCUAAAAUUAAUACUUCGAAGGUAAAUUAUUUCAUUGAUUUAACAAUUAAUUUCUUUAAAUCCCGAUGGCUAAACUUAAAUCGUUAAUAACGAUUAAAUGUUAAUAGAAAAUUUCACGUUAAGACAAAGUCGAUAAAUUUUAGAUAAAAAUAAUACAAGUAUACUAAAUACGCGUGGGACGUAAAUAAUACGAUAAUUGAAGCCUUGCAAGAUUAGUGUAUUAGUAGGAGCUUAAUUUAUAUUCGGGACAGAUUUUGGAGUUAAGUAAAAUUAAGGAACUCAAGUGGAUAUUAGGAAGAGAUGUGAAAAGACUAAAAUACCCUCCAUACAAUCUUAAAAUUUCCAUGCAAACCAAACACCCUCUCGGACAACAUCAUCACCCACCACCCCAUCCGGCCAAUGCAGCUUCUACCACUUCUACACUCAACACUUCCAAUUCCUGCCGGUUCCAAUUCCCACUUCACAUUCCAGCACCUUCCAUCUCUAUGCCGACUUAUAACCACUAAUGCACUCCACUAUAUCACACACUAGUAUAUCAACUACCAUCCACCACAAUAUAUCCAUUUCAAUUGCUUUUCAGCCGUGAGUGAGCAAAGCUUCCUUGGCCAACUUUAAAACACAAACAUCUCCAAUUCCGCCGGAUUACAUUUCAGUCUCCAUUCACACCCCAUUUCCCUUCAUCCGCGACUUGUUUCCCAUUUCAGCAACUCCAACAUUCCACAACACCAUACCAUUUCACUUCAUCUCCUGCCUUGGUAUCAUCAAAGAGAGGAAAUCAGAGAGAGAGAGUUGCGGACGGCAAUUUCUGGACAGCCGAGAGGAGGGAAACAUUUUUUUUGCAGCUAGCCGAGGGUGUUGAGCCAAACUGAGGUAAUUUCUGGACCUAGACUAGAUGUUUAUAGGUUGAUGAAGUUGUUUAAGGGCAUGCAUGUGAGGUUGUGCGGUUGGAUGACAAAAGUAAGUAGCAAGAAAUCUGGUUGUGAAGAAAUUGGAAUUGCCGAGAGCUUGAGCUGGAAUUUCAGCUUUAACUUGCUAAGUUGUGACGAUCUGAGCUUAGUUGUUUGUUUAACUAAUGAAUAGCUGGACGAUUGAGUUUUGCAUGAGGUUAAUCAACCUUGUUUAAACAAGAAAAUUGAGGGAAUAUGAAAUCUGUUUACAUGCAUGACAACCGAGAGAGAGGUUGGAUGAAUUUAUGGUAAGAUGGUAAUUUUUUAUGGUAUUCGAACUUAGUUAUGGACCCAAUUUGAUAGAUAGCCUUUCGUUUGGUGUUGCAUGUGAACCUUAUGGCCAGGAAUUCGGUUGCAUGGCUGGAAAUUUUUACUGGAAGUUGUUGGACUGCUGAAUCAAUUUUCCAGCUCAGCCGAUGGAGUUGUUUUGGGAAUUGUAUGGGUAGUUUAGCAUGAAAUCUGCUGGAAAGUGUUUGAUUUGCACUUGGUUUGGAUCAAGACCUAACAGAUAGUUAAUUAUUUUGAUCAAGCAUGAAGCUGAUAUGAGUCGUGGAUUUUGAUUCCCAGCUUGAUCUGUAACUUCACUCUUGGUGAGUGUCCCUGCUUGUUCUAUGCUUAUUUGGUUAAAGUGCUUUCUUGACUCGAUAUGUGAUAAUUUGGAAAAAUGAUUUCUGAUCCAUCGAAGUGAGCACUGUGUACUUUAUCACACUAGCCGUUCGAGUGGUGACUUGUGUGAAGUGUUUUUCGUAAAUAUCUUGCUUGCGCUUGCUAAGUACUGAGUAGGGGAAUGUACCACACCUGAGGGUGGGAGGGCCUCUUAUCCUAUCUCAAGUACUAAAUCACUAGGCAGGGGAAUGUACCACACCUUAAAGGUGGGAGGGCCUCUUAUCCUGACCUAGUAACCACGUGUUGGACGUGACGUCGUUGGGUGAAUCCCUCGACCAAUUCCUGAGGGUAUACUCACGUAUACUGCUCCCAAUUUCUAAGGGUAUAUCUCGAGUAUACUGCUUCCUUAGUCGGUGUUCGGGCCCGGGACAGGGGUAUGAAUGGUGACGGGUUAGGUAACAAAAUAAGAGGAUCUACAUGGACUAUAAGUAGUGAGGGUUGACGGAGGGUCAACUACGAUGAAUGGUGAUCAAGCGAGAAAAAUGGCUCCUGAGAGCCCCUGUAUCCUACGUUGUGCUGUUAUCUGCUUUUAUUAAGUGUGAAAUUGAAAUAUUCGUUACUUGCCUUAUGUGAUUGCAUGUUUUGGGGCACCACUGAGUUUUAGCUCACCCCACGUUCAUUUGUUUUCCUUACAGGUCUUGAAGUUUGAAAGAAUUUGAGCUGCUUAUAUUUCCUAUGAAUGUACUUAAACAACUUGAAUUUAAAUUUCGGUUUGUAACGAAUUCUAAGUUAAGUAUUGUACCUUUCAUUUUGGAUUGCCACUUGAAACUGGAAAAGUGUAAUCCCUAAUUCUAAUAUUCGGUUUGUAUGUUUGUAUUGGUAUGGCUUUAACCCUAGUGAGUAACGUGUGAAGUGUUUAAGAGCCGUCGUUUGGCUAA